UACAGAUCAGCUCCUCCUAGUGCAGUUCAACAUCAAUGAAGCUCCUCCCACAGCAGUUCAUCAAUAAAUGCAGGAAUAUUCCCAUCAGACGAGCAUCAGGAAGAGCUGAAAUCUGCAAAGACUGAGUUUAUUAAAGAGGACAGUGAGAACAUGAGUGAUCCAGAACCCUGCAGAAUGAAACACACUGAAGAUACUGAAGAACAAAGAGAUCUGAUGGAAGUGAAGGAGGAGAGUGAAGAACUGAGUGAAGUGGAGGAGAAACAUCAUGUCAAUCCUGGAGAAAAACCUUUGAGUCGCUCAAAGACUAAAAAGACAUUUUUAAAGAAAAGAAGAGCCGAGAAAUCUUUCACCUGCACUCAGUGUGGAAAGAGUUUCACAACAAAGCAAAGUCUUGAGCGUCACACGAGGAUCCACACCGGAGAGAAGCCGUUCACAUGUGAUCAAUGUGGAAAGAGCUUCACAUGCAAAAAGAAUCUUGAUGUUCACAUGAGAGUUCACACCGGAGAGAAGCCAUAUGCAUGCAAUCAGUGUGGGAAGAGAUUCAGCCGAUCAGAAAACCUUGAAAGUCACAUGAGGAUCCACACCGGAGAGAAGCCGUUCACAUGUGAUCAGUGUGAAAAGAGAUUCUCAAUCAAACAGUCUCUUAAGAUUCACAUGAGAGUUCAUACAGGAGAGAAGCCGCAUGUAUGCUAUCACUGUGGGAAGAGUUUCAGUCAAUCAUCAUGCCUUAAGAUUCACAUGAGGAUCCACACCGGAGAGAAGCCAUUCACAUGUGAUCAGUGUGGAAAGAGCUUCACAAACAAACAUAGUCUUGAUCUUCACAUGAGAGUUCAUACUGGAGAGAAGCCAUAUGCAUGCAAUCAGUGUGGGAAGGGCUUCAGCCGAUCAGAAAACCUUGUAAGUCACAUGAGGGUCCACACCGGAGAGAAGCCGUUCACAUGUGAUCAAUGCAGCAAAACAUUUUUUAGGGCAUCAAACCUGAAGGAACACCUGACAGUUCAUACGAAGGAGAAGCCACAUUCAUGUUCUGUGUGUGGAAAGAGUUUUUCACUGCGGCAACAUUUACAAGUACAUCAGAAAAUUCACACUGGUGUGAGAGAGUACAUGUGCUUUGAGUGUGAGAAGAUGUUUACUACAGCAAACAGUUUAAAACUGCACGAGAGAAUUCACACUGGAGAAAAACUUUACAAGUGUUCACACUGUGAUAAGAGAUUCAGUCAGCCAGCAAAUCUGAAAAUACAUGAGAGGAUCCACACUGGAGAGAAACCUUACAAGUGUUCACACUGCGACAAGAGAUUCAGUCGGUCAACACAUCUGAAAACACAUGAGAGGAUCCACACUGGAGAAAACCUUUACAAGUGUUCACAAUGUGACAAAAGAUUUAGUCAGCCAGCAAAUCUGAAAACACAUGAGAGGAUUCACACUGGAGAAAAACCUUAUAAGUGUUCAUACUGCGAUAAGAGAUUCAGUCGGUCAACAAAUCUGAAAACACAUGAGAGGAUCCACACUGGAGAGAAGCCGCACACAUAUGAUCAGUGUGGAAAGAGUUUUACUAUUAAAAGUCACCUGAAGCGAUACAUGAAGAUCCAUACAGUGGAGAAACCACAUCAUCACAGUUUGAAAUCAAGAUCAGCUCCUCCAACCAAUCUGCAGUUCAGUCAACGAAGCCCCGCCCACUGCAGUUCACUUAAUGAAGCUCCUCCCACAGCAGUUCACCAAUAAAUGCAGGAAUAUUCCCAUCAGACGAGCAUCAGAGCAUCAGGAAGAGCUGAAAUCUGCAAAGACUGAGUUUAUUAAAGAGGACAGUGAGAACAUGAGUGAUCCAGAACCCUGCAGAAUGAAACACACUGAAGAUACUGAAGAACAAAGAGAGCUGAUGGAAGUGAAGAAGGAGAGUGAAGAACUGAGUGAAGCGGAGGAGGAACAUCAUGUCAAUCCUGGAGAAAAACCUUUGAGUCACUCAAAGACUAAAAAUACAUUUUUGAAGGAAAAAAGAGCCAAGACUUCUUUCAUAUGCACUGACUGUGGAAAGAGUUUCAUAAAAAAACAAAGUUUUGAUGUUCACAUGAGAGUUCAUACUGGAGAGAAGCCGUUCACAUGUGAUCAGUGUGGAAAGAGCUUUACACAAAAAAUACAUCUUAAUGUUCACAUGAGGAUACACACUGGAGAAAAGCUGUACGCGUGUGAUCAGUGUGGAAAGAGUUUCGCACAAUCAUCAUACCUUAAUGUUCACAUGAAGAACCACAAGAGAGAGAAGCCGUACACAUGUGAUCAAUGCGGCAAAACAUUUAUUUGGCCAUCAACCCUGAAAAGACACCUGACAGUUCAUACGAAGGAGAAGCCACAUUCAUGUUUUGUAUGUAGAAAGAGUUUUUCAGUGCUGCAAACUUUACAAACACAUCUGAAAAUUCAUACUGGUGUGAGAGAGUACAUGUGCUUUGAGUGUGGGAAGACUUUUACUUUUGUGAACAAUUUAAAACGGCAUCAGAGGAUCCACACUGGAGAAAAACCGUACAAGUGUUCAUACUGUGACAAGAGAUUCAGGCAGUCAUCAUAUCUGAAAACACACGAGAGGAUCCACAACAGAGAGAAGCCGCACACGUGUGAUCAGUGUGGAAAGAGUUUCACUAUUAAAAGUCACGUGAAGCUUCACAUGAAGAUCCAUGCAGUGGAGAAACUCCUCGAUCCAUGCGGGAAGAGAACUACCAGAAUGCAUCUGGAAGGAGAGGACGGAGAGAAUGCCAGUGAUCCAGAACCUGCAGAAUGAAACAUCACGAUACUGAAGAACAAAGAGUAGAAAAGACACGGCGCUAUAUGUUGAAACCUUGGAAACACAUGAAAGGAUUCAAACUGGAGAGAAACACAUCAGAGUUUGAUCAAUGAUCUAGUCUACGGUCACUAUCACAGUAACUAGAUCAUCUUCAGAUCCAGCAGUGACACCAAACGUGAGACGAUAAAGCAUCUCUCCCAUAGAAAUCUGUCCUGAUCAGCUGCAGAGAGAGACACGACAGACAGACAUCAUCCACAGUUGUCAAAGUUCAUCCUCAGGAGUUUGUGUUAAUGUUCUUAAUGAAUUUCCAUCACUCAGUUCUCUUUUAAGUUAAGUUAAAGUAUUUUUGAAAGAAUAAGUGUUCUACUGUUCCAUGCAAAUGCAAGAUAUUCUUUCAUGUAUCUUUGAAACUGGACACUUUGCUUCUCUUCUUCUCUUGAGAUGCUUUGGCUCUUAUAAGUCAGUAAAGAGAGAGAUCUGUCUCAUUUGGUGUCACUUUUACUCAAAGUUUGUAUUUGGUUCAAGUAGUGAUUGAUUCAACUUAUUAUUCAUUUUAUCAACAUCUCGUUAUUGUCCAUUUUUUAAAAAAUUUUUUUGCUGAGUCUGCUUGAAUCAGGAAUAAUUUUAGGUUAAAAGUUGCGAAGAAGCUUAUAAUUGUUUUGUGUGUCUUUUCUAUUCAAUAAAGACAAACAUCUGAAACUA